rnacentral:rRNA from 1 species
GACGAACGCUGGCGGCGUGCUUAACACAUGCAAGUCGAACGGGAUUUCGUAAACAGAAGCCUCGGUGGAAGAUUACUAAUGAGAGUGGCGAACGGGUGAGUAACGCGUGAGCAACCUGCCUAUGACAGUGGGAUAGCCUCGGGAAACCGGGAUUAAUACCGCAUAAAAUCGUAGAAACACAUGUUUUAACUGUCAAAGAUUUAUCGGUCAUAGAUGGGCUCGCGUCUGAUUAGCUAGUUGGUGAGGUAACAGCCCAACAAGGCGACGAUCAGUAGCCGGCCCGAGAGGGUGGUCAGCCAGCCGGUAAGAGAGAAACGGCGCAGACAUCGAAGGGAGGCAGCAGUAGGGACUCUUACGGGAGGGGCGAAAGCCGGAUCUAGCAAAAUCGCGUGAGUGAUGAAGGAGUGAGGGCGGGAAAACGCUGUAGGUAGGAAAGAAGAAAAGUACUGUCAUAUGCGCAGGUAAUGACGGUACCAAAAAAGAAAGCACCGGCUAACUACGUG